rnacentral:rRNA from 1 species
UACGUAGGGACCAAGCGUUGUUCGGAUUUACUGGGCGUAAAGGGCGCGUAGGCGGCAAUUCAAGUCAGCUGUGAAAUCUCCGGGCUUAACUCGGAACGGUCAGCUGAUACUGCUUUGCUAGAGUGCAGAAGGGGCAAUCGGAAUUCUUGGUGUAGCGGUGAAAUGCGUAGAUAUCUGGAGGAAUACCGGUGGUGAAGGCGGCAUCCUGGACCGGCAUUGACGCUGAGGAGCGAAAGCUAGGGGAGCAAACGGG